CCUACGGGCGGCAGCAGUGGGGAAUAUUGGGCAAUGGGCGCAAGCCUGACCCAGCAACGCCGCGUGAAGGAAGAAGGCUUUCGGGUUGUAAACUUCUUUUAAGAGGGAAGAGCAGAAGACGGUACCUCUUGCAUUAGCCACGGCUAACUACGUGCCAGCAGCCGCGGUAAUACGUAGGUGGCAAGCGUUGUCCGGAUUUCCUGGGUGUAAAGGGCGUGUAGCCGGGCUGACAAGUCCGAUGUGAAAUUCCGGGGCUCAACCCCGGACCUGCAUUUGAAACUGUUGGUCUUGAGUAUCGGAGAGGCAGGCGGAAUUCCUGGUGUAGCGGUGAAAUGCGUAGAUAUUAGGAGGAACACCAGUGGCGAAGGCGGCCUGCUGGACGACAACUGACGGUGAGGCGCGAAAGCGUGGGGAGCAAACAGGAUUAGAUACCCUGGUAGUC
rnacentral:rRNA from 1 species